rnacentral:rRNA from 1 species
GAUGAACGCUGGCGGCGUGCCUAAUACAUGCAAGUCGAGCGAACAGAUGAGGAGCUUGCUCCUCUGACGUUAGCGGCGGACGGGUGAGUAACACGUGGAUAACCUACCUAUAAGACUGGGAUAACUUCGGGAAACCGGAGCUAAUACCGGAUAAUAUAUUGAACCGCAUGGUUCAAUAGUGAAAGACGGUUUUGCUGUCACUUAUAGAUGGAUCCGCGCCGCAUUAGCUAGUUGGUAAGGUAACGGCUUACCAAGGCAACGAUGCGUAGCCGACCUGAGAGGGUGAUCGGCCACACUGGAACUGAGACACGGUCCAGACUCCUACGGGAGGCAGCAGUAGGGAAUCUUCCGCAAUGGGCGAAAGCCUGACGGAGCAACGCCGCGGGAGUGAUGAAGGUCUUCGGAUCGUAAAACUCUGUUAUUAGGGAAGAACAAAUGUGUAAGUAACUAUGCACGUCUUGACGGUACCUAAUCAGAAAGCCACGGCUAACUACGU